GUACUCGCCGGUUAUUUAAGAAAUAUUUAGAGGUUGGGUUUUUAGAUAAACGGUCGAGGGUUUGAUAAAACAGUUGGUUAAAUAUAUAACGAACGACGAGUGGAGUAUAGAAUAGGAUAGGAAAAACCGUUGGUAGAUCGGUAGGAUCAUCUUCUACCGCUGCACUUCUAUUUCAUGAAAAUCCCGAUGUGAGGGUAGAUUCACAAGUGAGCCAUGAAAUAAUAACACGUCGAGAUAGCCGAUAGUUGGUUUUAAUUAACAGUAUCGAUUACACAUCAAAAUAACUUAAGAUCACUUUGAUUUAAAUGGAUUAUAAACAUCAGUUAUAAAGAACUGCUCACGUGAGAUUAUGAGCCUCACAACCUGCUCAUGAAGUCGUGUGUUUCUUGGAACGAGACGAGCAGAAUCCAUGUUCCGCGCGACGCGAAGCAUAGCCUGCCCCAAUGUGGCUUUGUUGGCCUUAAUAUACACUGAAUUUAUUGUCAAGGAAGGGCAAAUGUAUGUGUGUAUGUAAAAAUGAUAGAAUACAAAAUUUUAUAAUGACACACCUCUUCCCGAUUUGACCCGCAAAUACGGCCUGCCAUUACAUUAAGCAAUCUAAUUAGGGCAUCGUGCUGCCUGACAUGUGCUGUAACAGUCCGUUGUUUGUGUUUUGAUAUUGUUGGAUUGGAACUGCUCAUCACGUGAGGUUAUGCGGCUCACAACCUGCUCAUGAAGCCGUGUAUUACGGGCUUCUUGGCACGUUACGAGCAGUUCCAUGUUACGCGCGACGCGGAGCAUAGCCUACCCCAAUCAUGGGUGUAAGAGUCGACGUUAAAGAUAUGUUUAAACUUUUGCACCUUAUUACAAAGGAGUAAGGAGGAGGUAAACAUCUUUGACGUCGACUGUAGGUACAUGAAUAAAAUUACAUUCUUCUAUCACCUUAUUUGUUUUGUAUUGUAUUAUUUAUUGAUCAUGUGGGUAGUAUAUUUGUUUAUAACCAGGAUCCAGUACUGAUAUUUUACCAGAAGAGGCCGAAGAAAAUAAGUUGUGGUUGAAAUUUAACAAAGAACCAUGGGUAGAACAUUUUGGAUAAAUAGAACCAGACCAAAAAAUACAGAGUGGCAUUUAUCCCUGAAGAAAAACAGGAUAUUCUUCCAGAAUGGCCUAGUCUUAAAGCGAGUCUAGGAUAUAAAUUGGUAUGCUUUUUGUAUUAUACUUGGAUUCAUCGGUAUUCAGAAUAUGACCAUUUCAGUAAUUGUUUAAGUAUAUAUUACCUCCUAUUUAUAGACAAACCCUAGUGACUAUGUUAUAAUAAUAUCUAUAAAACAGAUGAUCACCGACUCUACUACGAGGCAUGCGUACGAGUAAUGUGAUUUUCAGAUUGAAGCAGAUUUUGACGCUAUGCAUCCGCAUUGCGAACUUAAUUUGUUUAAAAAAUGGCCAUUAUUUAUGGAAAAAGCAAGACCAAAACUCGGAUGUCGGAUCUCGGAAUAAAAAUCUUAAAUCACCGGACAUAAAUUUACUGGAUGAAAACCUUCAGGAAGGUAGGUUAUGUAUGUUGUGUCUCUAAUGGCUCUGGCAAAGUGCGCCAAACAGCUUACUACACAGCAAAUCUCAAGACAGCGUUAGGCCCACGUAAGAACUAAAAUCGGAACUGCAGUCAGCACUGCGUCAAUUAGACGAUAAUUAUGUUUAUUACAGCAUAAUACCCUGUCCCCAGUGCCCUGGAAAUGGCAAAACAAGAACAGAUAGAGUCUGACCAGCGAGUCGCUGCACAAGCAUUUUUACAGAAUUCUUCAUAUGGCAACAAUUUUAUCUGUCAAAAGUGUCAAACAACUGUCAAAAUGUUGACAGCUUCUGUUACCAAACAAUAUUGAUAUUUGUGUCACAUUUAUGUGAGUUUUUAUUUGCAAACAUAUGUUUGACCAGCGAGUCGCUGCACAAGCGUUUUUAGAGAAUUCUAUAUAUGGCAAUAAUUUUAGCUGUCAAAAGUGUCAAAAAUAUUGUCAAACGAGUUUACACAUAACCUAGAUUCUCAAAUUCUCAUGUUAGUUCAUUCGUUACGGAAGUUUAUAGUUUAUAUCGUAUUAUAAUGGCUAAACCGAUUAGAAGCAGUGUGAGGAGCAUGUUAUUUAAGAUAAUCUGUAACUAUAAUCAAGUUCGACACGACGAAAAUGAGAGAUUACUAGAAAAGAAGCGAAUAUUGGACGAAAUCAUUCAGGCGACCGCGGGCGUAGAUGACGAAAAUGUUAGAGAAACUAUUCAAAAGCUAGCAAGCGAACUGAAGAAUGUUAUUGAUAAUAACGCAUCAGAAUCAAGUUAUUUAGAGAAAGUGUCUAUAUACAGGUAAUAUAAAUAAUCUAUAUUUUCACAUCUAGGUUUAUUAAUAUUUUAGUGUUCUUUUGUUAAAAUUCCUAUUGUUAAAACUGUUUUUUUUUCAGGUGCAAGCAUUCGUACACUACGCACAAUUAAAAAAGAGGGUUCUAUUAACCAAGGCCAAUGGAAUACGCCAGGGAAAAAACGACCCCGGCCACCAACUGUGUCAAAUUUAGACAAUUUUGAUGUGUCAGCCAUCCGUAAUAAAAUUAAUGAGUUUUAUUGCGUCAAAAAGCAGGUACCUACUCUAAGAGCCUUACAUGCGGAUUUGAAAGAAUCUAUAGGAUUCUCAGGAUGUUGUGAAACACUGAGGAAAAUACUACACGAGAACGGAUUUGAGUUUAAAAAAAAUAAAGAAGAGCGCUCCAUCCUCAUGGAAAAGUUUGAAAUAUCUGGGUGGAGGCAAAGGUUUCUUAGAGCUAUACAUAAAAAACGGGAAGAAGGAAAAAAUAUUGUGUAUCUUGAUGAGACAUAUGUCCAUCAAAAUUACAGACCGAAGAAGUCAUGGCAAGGGCCUUCAACUUCCGGUUUAGUUGAAAAAAUUUCCUCGGGUAAGCGGCAUAUUAUAGUGCAUGCUGGAUCAGAGCAAGGAUUUGUGCCCAAUGCUUUGCUUGUUUUUAGCACAAAAUCCAAAGCAGCUGACUAUCAUGAUGACAUGAACAGUUCUAAUUUUUUAAAGUGGCUACGAGAAAUGUUAAUCCCAAAUUUGACUGAGCCCAGUGUAAUUGUUAUGGACAAUGCCAGUUACCAUGUAACACAAAUAAAUAAGCCUCCAACCAUGCACAGCUUAAAGGCUGAUAUUCAAAAAUGGCUAAGGGAAAAUAAUAUCCCAUAUGAAGAGUGUUUCAAAAAGGAGGAAUUGAUGUGCCUCGUUGAGGAAAAUAAAAUUGGUCCCAUAUAUGCAGCAGAGGAGUUAUUGAAGCAGCAUGGGCAUGAGGUCCUUAAAUUGCCUCCAUACCAUUGCGAUCUAAACGCUAUUGAGUUGAUAUGGAGCCUCACAAAGCGAAAAAUAGCCAGCAGAAAUGUGGGGCUACCGGGUUCAGAUAGGGAAAACUUGAUCCGAGAAUGUUUUGCAAUGAUUACCCCGGAAGAUUGGAAAAAAAGUACAGACCAUGUAAUAAAUGUGGAACGAAAAUACAAGUCUAAGGACAACAUUACAGACACUGAACUAGCUCCAUUCAUAAUAGAAGUUCGGGAAAGUGACAAUGACAGUGAUAGUUCUCUGUCAGGAAUUGAAUUUCUUGAAUCCGAUUUCGAUUAUGAUUCUUAAAUAAAUAGGCACCUUCUUUAUAAACUAACAAUAUUAAAAGUAGAUUGAAACUAAA